AUUGAACGCUGGCGGCAUGCCUAACACAUGCAAGUCGAACGCGAAAGAGGGGCAACUCUUGAGUAGAGUGGCGGACGGGUGAGUAAUACGUAGGAAUCUGCCCUAGAGUGGGGGAUAACCUGUCGAAAGACGGGCUAAUACCGCAUAAUCUCUAAGGAGCAAAGGUGUCCCAUAGCAAUAUGGGGUUUCGCUUUAGGAUGAGCCUACGGCAGAUUAGCUAGUUGGUAGGGUAAUGGCCUACCAAGGCGACGAUCCGUAGCUGGUCUGAGAGGACGAUCAGCCACACUGGAACUGAGACACGGUCCAGACUCCUACGGGAGGCAGCAGUGGGGAAUAUUGGACAAUGGGGGAAACCCUGAUCCAGCAAUGCCGCGUGUGCGAUGAAGGCCUGCGGGUUGUAAAGCACUUUCGGUGGGGAAGAAAUACUCAAAGAUAAUACCUUUGAGGGUUGACGUUACCCACAGAAGAAGCACCGGCAAACUCUGUGCCAGCCGCCGCCUGUAA
rnacentral:rRNA from 1 species